rnacentral:rRNA from 1 species
CUCAGGAUGAACGCUGGCGGCGUGCCUAAUACAUGCAAGUCGAGCGAACAGACGAGGAGCUUGCUCCUCUGAYGUUAGCGGCGGACGGGUGAGUAACACGUGGAUAACCUACCUAUAAGACUGGGAUAACUUCGGGAAACCGGAGCUAAUACCGGAUAACAUGUUGAACCGCAUGGUUCAACAGUGAAAGACGGUCUUGCUGUCACUUAUAGAUGGAUCCGCGCCGCAUUAGCUAGUUGGUAAGGUAACGGCUUACCAAGGCAACGAUGCGUAGCCGACCUGAGAGGGUGAUCGGCCACACUGGAACUGAGACACGGUCCAGACUCCUACGGGAGGCAGCAGUAGGGAAUCUUCCGCAAUGGGCGAAAGCCUGACGGAGCAACGCCGCGUGAGUGAAGAAGGUCUUCGGAUCGUAAAACUCUGUUAUUAGGGAAGAACAAAUGUGUAAGUAACUAUGCACGUCUUGACGGUACCUAAUCAGAAAGCCACGGCUAACUACGUGCCAGCAGCCGCGGUAAUACGUAGGUGGCAAGCGUUAUCCGGAAUUAUUGGGCGUAAAGCGCGCGUAGGCGGUUUUUUAAGUCUGAUGUGAAAGCCCACGGCUCAACCGUGGAGGGUCAUUGGAAACUGGAAAACUUGAGUGCAGAAGAGGAAAGUGGAAUUCCAUGUGUAGCGGUGAAAUGCGCAGAGAUAUGGAGGAACACCAGUGGCGAAGGCGACUUUCUGGUCUGUAACUGACGCUGAUGUGCGAAAGCGUGGGGAUCAAACAGG